rnacentral:sRNA from 1 species
AUUUUUCCGUUUCCAAAUCAGAGCAAGCAGGGAUAUAUCAUUUGGUUGCUUUACCCAAUCCUAGCUCGGACAAAGAUGGCCGACCGCUCGAGGAAAUUCGAACAUCACUGAUAGACGUUCGAGCGGCGGACAUUCGUCGGCCAGCCUCGCUUUCGACCAUACUAGGGGUGACAGGGCGCCGAACUCUUCGACCUCCGUCAACUAGAAUAUCCAAGGAAGUAUUAUUUUCCAAAAGAAACCAAGAAAACACCAAGACAAGAUCGGGAAAUAGAAGGUUACAAUUAAGAGAAUUCAACACUGACUUAAAGAUAUUUCAGAGAAACCAGAUGUCUACAUAUCUUAAUAUGCAUCGUAAAGAAACACGUCUCAAGGUUAUGUUUUAAAUUGCAAGAAGACGAUAGACCCUGGCUAAUGCAUAAGGUGGAGUACCAACCACUGACCCUGCACAUAAGGCACUGUGCAUCAAGUUUGCCUACAGUAAGAAACGCUAGGCCUGUGAUUUUUACUUGAUAAGACUUUUGGAUCUAGAGAACAUACGCAAGUUGAUAAAAGUUAGCAUGUUUUUGUACCUAUGUUAUAAUACUACAAAAUGUUGGCUUGUUUACAUGUUCAUGGAUGCUAUCAUUAAAAAUAAUAUAGGAUAAAUCAGCACCUAUCCACAAAUCAAUCAAAAUAUAUGAUUAGGAAAUGU